GUGACCUCGAAUCAUGGUACGGG
rnacentral:rRNA from 1 species